GCCAAGCCCAUCCACGUUACCCACUAAGAAAUAUAAAAGGAAAACCAAAGGGAUUUGUGCCCUUAUUUCGCGUAGGGAGAAAAAAAAAAUAUAGAGAGAGAGGUCUUCAACCCGUGAUUUUCUAGACAAGAAAGCAACGAGGGUCUGAAUUUUGGCGUUCUUUUGGAGGAACACAAAGAGGAUUCAAUCAUCGAUAAGAUAACUAAAGAGAAGUAGGAAAAGAAGGUAAAUUUCUUUAUUUGGUCCAUAAAUUUUAAUCGUAUAAUUCAUGGCUUAGGAUUUGAGAUUGAUAGUUUAAGAAUAAGGGAUUGAAAGCGAUGGAGAUAUCUUUAAAUUCUCAUGAACAGAGCGAGAAUAUUAGACGAUUGAAUUGUAAAUUUUAUAGUUUUGACUUAACCAAAGAAUAGUUUAUAGACAAUAAGGUUAUUGUGGUUUAAGAUAUUGAGAAAAAUCAAUAUGUUCUUAUGGAUUGAAGCAAAUUUAGUAUAAGUUGUCAAGUUGAGAGCCAAUCAUGAAAUUUCUAUUGUUGGGUAGUUAAAGUAGUUACGCUUUAGCCUAAAUGAAGAAAUUAACACGAUAUUGAUAUGUUGUGAUUAUCGAUUUGAUUCAAAAAAGUGAUACAAAUCGUUCGAGGUGACAACAGUGGCGAAGCCAAGAUUUUGGUUAAAAGUGUUCAUAUUUUUAGAAAAAGAAGCGGGUCAUAAAAAAAAUAUUGUAAACUGUAUAUUGAAGAAGAAGAAUCUUUGAACCAAACUAAUCAUAAAAAACAUAUAGGAUAACAAGUUGAAACAUAUAAUAUAAAAAAAGUCAACAAAGAAAAUUCUAUUAAUAAAUAAAAAACAUAUAGGAUAACAAGUUGAAACAUAUAAUAUAAAAAAAGUCAACAAAGCAAAUUCUAUUAAUAAAAGAUUGAUUAGAAAAUAUAAUUACGAGUGCACUCGAUGACGCUUCAUCCCUUGAAAUGUUUUUACAAUGCACUCAUUAGAAAUAUUCUUAAAUACUUUUUUUUCAACAUAAGACACUAUGCAACCAUCAAAGAAUUCAUCAUCCAUUUGAUUCUGUAAAUCAUUCUAGAUAUACUUCAUUGCCGAAAAAACUCUUUCAACUGAUGCAGUGGCAAUGGGUAGAAGCAACGCAAACUUCACUAAAAAAAAUACAAGAGGAUAGCUUAAAUGCUUCUUUGUCUCAACCAACUUUCUUUAAAGUUCCCAAGUCUGCCUAAAUUGGAGAAUCUUUUAUCAAUAUCACGAACAUCAAUAAUAUAAUUAACAAGUUGAUUCUCAAGAACCCUCAUGUUGAAUUCAUCAAAGUUAUCAGGAUAUAAUUUAGCCAUCACCAAUAUCUUUUUGAUGUCAAAACUAAAAAAUGUAUCAACUAGAUUCAAACAAGUUACACCAUUAAGCAAAUCACUUUUCACCUCAUUAAAAUAGUCAUUAAGUCCUUGUAGCUGCCAAUCAAUAAUUUUAUAAAACACAUCCAUACGAUAAUGGUGCAAAGUAGUAUAAUCAACUAUUUUACGUUGUGAUCUCCCAGAGUAAGCAUAUGGCCCAUCAUAAUUGAGUAAUGGAAUAUUAUGCUUGAUACAAAAUGUCUCGGCCUUUUCUUUGAGCGAAUCCCAACCAACAUUCUUUUUUAGAAGAGGAUCCCAUUCAUUAUCUCGUAAAGCUUGCAAUCUUCUCGUAAAACUUGCAAUCUUCUCUUUGCUACUUUUACAAGAAUUAUGGCAUUAGCAAUAUCCUGUUUCUUUUUCUGUAAUGACACAUUAAGAUUAUUUGUGAUUCCUAAAACAUCAGCCAUCAAAUGCAACAAGAAAACAGUCUCAAAAGUUUGACAACUUCUAAGAAAUCCCGAUGCGCUAGCUUUUUCUUCCGAAGUACUUGCAUUUUCAACAAGAGAAUCAAGUAUAUCAACAAUGGAGUCAAAGUUACUAAUAAAAUUUUCAAAUGACUUGUAGUGAGAUUCCCAACGAAUGUCACCGGCUUUAAUAAGACCAAGUUCUUGAUUUAAAUCUCUACCCAUUUCUAGCUCACCCAUAUCUAAUACCUCUUGGAGUUUUUAUUUUUGAGAUUCUCAAAAUUCAUCCACACAUUUAAAGGAAGCUCCCAACACAUUCAAAAUAUUUGAAGUCAAUAACACAAGUUCUCCGACUUGAACACAACUUUUAGAAACCACAACAAAAGUCAAUUGAAGUUGAUGAGAAAAACAAUGAACGGAGUGAGCCGAUCUACUUUCUUGUCUAAUUAAUGUUUUAAGACCACCUAACUCACCUUGCAUAUUGCUUGCCCCAUCAUAACAUUGCCCUCGUACAUAAGCUAAAGUUAAAGAAUGGUGAACAACUUUAUCUACAAUUAUUUUAUUUAGAGAUAAAGAACUUGUAUCUUUAACAUGAACAAGUCCAAUGAAUGCUUCCAUCACAAAUCCCUUUUUAUCAACAUAUCGUAAACAAAUAGCCAUUUACUCUUUGCGUGAUACGUCUCUUGAUUCAUUAACCAACAAAGAAAAGUAGUCACCAUCUAAAUCCUUUAGUAUAGCUUUGAUUGUUUCAAUCUUACACGCAGUCACAAUAUCUUUUUGAAUAUCAUGGGAAAUUAUUUUAUUAUUUUUUAAAGCUUUUUCUAACACAUAAGGUUUAAUGUCAUCACAUCUAUCUGCAGGCCAAGAAAGUUCUUCAAGAAAAUUACCUUUGUUCAAGGAUGAUUCGCUUUCAUCAUAACCACGGAGUGCUAAACCUUGAUUUAGAAGAAAUCGGACCGCUUUCAUCAUAAUCACGGAGUGCUAAACCUUGAUUUAGAAGAAAUCGGACCACAUAAAUUGAAGCAUUUAACUGAACCCGAUAUUCAUUCUUACUUUUCUCAUCCAACUUGUAAAAUGCAGCCUCAAUAGAUUGUUCUUCCCUCAUAAUAUCUUCAUACUUCCUUUUUGAUUGAUUAUGAAUGCUAUUCGGAGGACCAAUGUGUGUUGUAAAGCUAUCUUUUCUGUGCUAAUUUCUAAAUCUCUUUGAUGAAAAUGUAUUACCACCACCUUGAUGAAUGCUUUCGCCUUGAAAUAAAUAACAAGCAAACAAUAAGCUUGAAAGACCCCGCAAAAUUUCUAGCUUAAUUCAGUCCUUUAAGCUUGUUAAGGGGGUUCCAGACUUGGAAUAUAUUAGCUAAGUAUUCAGACUUAGUGUCAUUUUAGCCUUCGAAAGUUGUAAAUCUUAUUUCAAGACCUUUACGCCCAUUAAAUGUUGAUAUUUGAGUUAAUUCAUGAUCAGGAAGGUCAAUAGAUGUUCUCGGACAAGUUUUAAAAUUUCUGAACCUUGUUUAGACCAUGUUUGAGUGCCCAAAACAGUGGGUCGACGCGAUCUCGAUGCGUCGAAUUGAUCAUCGCAUUGAUAAGAUAGUUUUUUCCCAGCUUCAGUGCAAAUUACAGUGAACCGACGCAGACUUAAUGCGGUGCAUUGUCUAUUGCGUCGAUGCCAACGAUGCAGCGCGUUGGCCUGCGUAACACAGUUUACAGGCAUUAAAAGGCCGC
rnacentral:lncRNA from 1 species